rnacentral:miRNA from 1 species
UGAGGCAGGAGAAUUGCUUGAACCCAGGAGGUGGAAGUUGCAGUGAGCUGAGAUCAUGCCACUGCACUCCAGCCUGGGUGACACAGCGAGACUCCGUCUCA